rnacentral:rRNA from 1 species
UACGAAGGGGGCUAGCGUUGUUCGGAAUUACUGGGCGUAAAGCGCACGUAGGCGGGUUGUUAAGUCAGGGGUGAAAUCCUGGAGCUCAACUCCAGAACUGCCUUUGAUACUGGCAACCUAGAGACUGGAAGAGGUUAGUGGAAUUCCCAGUGUAGAGGUGAAAUUCGUAGAUAUUGGGAAGAACGCCAGUGGCGAAGGCGGCUAACUGGUCCAGCACUGACGCUGAGGUGCGAAAGCGUGGGGAGCAAACAGG